AGAGUUUGAUCAUGGCUCAGGACGAACGCUGGCGGCGUGCCUAAUACAUGCAAGUCGAGCGAGCUUGCCUAGAUGAUUUUAGUGCUUGCACUAAAUGAAACUAGAUACAAGCGAGCGGCGGACGGGUGAGUAACACGUGGGUAACCUGCCCAAGAGACUGGGAUAACACCUGGAAACAGAUGCUAAUACCGGAUAACAACACUAGACGCAUGUCUAGAGUUUGAAAGAUGGUUCUGCUAUCACUCUUGGAUGGACCUGCGGUGCAUUAGCUAGUUGGUAAGGUAACGGCUUACCAAGGCAAUGAUGCAUAGCCGAGUUGAGAGACUGAUCGGCCACAUUGGGACUGAGACACGGCCCAAACUCCUACGGGAGGCAGCAGUAGGGAAUCUUCCACAAUGGACGAAAGUCUGAUGGAGCAACGCCGCGUGAGUGAAGAAGGGUUUCGGCUCGUAAAGCUCUGUUGGUAGUGAAGAAAGAUAGAGGUAGUAACUGGCCUUUAUUUGACGGUAAUUACUUAGAAAGUCACGGCUAACUACGUGCCAGCAGCCGCGGUAAUACGUAGGUGGCAAGCGUUGUCCGGAUUUAUUGGGCGUAAAGCGAGUGCAGGCGGUUCAAUAAGUCUGAUGUGAAAGCCUUCGGCUCAACCGGAGAAUUGCAUCAGAAACUGUUGAACUUGAGUGCAGAAGAGGAGAGUGGAACUCCAUGUGUAGCGGUGGAAUGCGUAGAUAUAUGGAAGAACACCAGUGGCGAAGGCGGCUCUCUGGUCUGCAACUGACGCUGAGGCUCGAAAGCAUGGGUAGCGAACAGGAUUAGAUACCCUGGUAGUCCAUGCCGUAAACGAUGAGUGUCUAAGUGUUGGGAGGUUUCCGCCUCUCAGUGCUGCAGCUAACGCAUUAAGCACUCCGCCUGGGGA
rnacentral:rRNA from 1 species